rnacentral:rRNA from 1 species
AUUGAACGCUGGCGGCAGGCCUAACACAUGCAAGUCGAGCGGAUGAAGGGAGCUUGCUCCUGGAUUCAGCGGCGGACGGGCGAGUAAUGCCUAGGAAUCUGCCUGGCAGCGGGGGAUAACGUCCGGAAACGGGCGCUAAUACCGCAUACGCCCUGAGGGAGAAAGUGGGGGAUCUUCGGACCUCACGCUAUCAGAUGAGCCUAGGUCGGAUUAGCUAGUUGGUGGGGUAAAGGCCUACCAAGGCGACGAUCCGUAACUGGUCUGAGAGGAUGAUCAGUCACACUGGAACUGAGACACGGUCCAGACUCCUACGGGAGGCAGCAGUGGGGAAUAUUGGACAAUGGGCGAAAGCCUGAUCCAGCCAUGCCGCGUGUGUGAAGAAGGUCUUCGGAUUGUAAAGCACUUUAAGUUGGGAGGAAGGGCAGUAAGUUAAUACCUUGCUGCUUUGACGUUACCAACAGAAUAAGCACCGGCUAACUUCGUG